rnacentral:lncRNA from 1 species
CUGUGCUGGACCCUGAGCAGCCAGAGGAACGCAGAGGGCCCAGGACUGGGGUCCCAUGCCUCCCUGUUGUCCUUCAUCCUCUCCACCCCUCUUUGGGGACUGUCAUUCAGGUCUCUCCAUCACUCCCACAUUCAGCUGUCCAGGGACAGAGCUGUCUCCUGCCAGGCAGCCAGCCUCACAGAACUGCCCAGGAAGGCAGGGCUUGCUCAUUUCUCACAGCAGGGAAACUGAGGCUCGGGCUGUAUCCACUAAGAAGUGGCAGAGCUGUUGCUGGAAGCUGGGGCUAUGGACUCUGAAGUCCAGUGCUCAUUGGUUCCUCCCAGGACGCACUCCCUCCCCACUGCUGCCUCGGCCCCUCUCAAUCACCGCUCCCCUCUCUGUCUCCUCACCUCUUCUCUCACUUUCUGUCUUUUGGAGCUGAGUUCCCACAGGCCAGUUAGGAGGAGAGGCAAGGGAUGCCCCUUGAGGAGGAAGAGAGGAGCAGGGCAGGCAAGGAGGUCAGAGCAGAGGUUGGGAGGGCCAGCUACUGCAUGAA